UAAGAAUGUCAACUGUGGUGUUUUGUUCUGACAACUUGAUUGGAUUGAGAAAACACCUCUGGGCAUGUCUGUUUGGGAUGUUCCCAGAGAGGACUCUCUAUCAUAUAGGCUGAGGGUCUUUGAUAGAAUGCAGGGAGCUACUGAGUCUUCCUGUCAGUGGUCACGAUGGGAGCUCGUAUGGCCGCCACACUAUUCCCGCCAGAACAUCUGAUAUCCGCCUGGAUCAAGGGCUGAAACAAAACCCUCUUUCCCCCAAAAGAAUCUCCUCAGGUGUUUCCUCACAGCCAUCAAGAGUGGACAUUGAAGGGUCUUUCACCAAAUGAGUCAGGACUAAGUAAUGCUGACAAGGUCAUCCCACCUGAUACUUCUCCUGCACUCGUCCAUCUCCCUAACACACUCGUCUGCUCUGACUUCAUCCAUCAAACUCCUACCUAUCCUUCAAAACCCAGAUCCAACACAGUCUCCGUAAUAAACUUUCCGUGGGACUUCAACAAUCAACUGUUCUCUCCUACGUUCUCACAGGAGCUGAGACUCAUGCUGUUGGGUUGUCAGUGUCCUUGAAAAGUGAGGUGCUUUCCCUUAACGCUGGGGCCUGAGGCAGAAAGAUCAAGAGGCUAUGCUUAGCCUGGGCUUUUAUAUUGAGACCUUGUCUAAAUAGCAGAAAACAAACAAAC
rnacentral:lncRNA from 1 species